GAUGAAGAACGUAGCGAAAUGCGAUAAGUAGUGUGAAUUGCAGAAUUCCGUGAAUCAUCGAAUCUUUGAACGCACAUUGCGCCUUCUGGUAUUCCGGAAGGCAUGCCUGUUCGAGAGUCAUUAACAACCGUUUCGAUCCCUUUCUUUCAGAAAUUACAAAGAGGAAAAGGGUUUGGUUAUGGUGGAGGAGGGAAAGGGAGCGUUUAGCCUGUAAAAAAAGAGGCUGUGUUCCGCCUCCACCCCAAAAUUGUACAGGCGGUCGUGUGCGCCCACGCAUCGAGGUGUUGUAAAAGCUGCCACGGCACUUUUCACCUGUGCAGUGCGAGAUUGGCCAGCCGGUUUAAAAACCCCUCCAAACAAUCAAAGGUUGACCUCGGAUCAGGUAGGGAUACCCGCUGAACUUAAGCAUAUCAAUAAGCGGAGGA
rnacentral:misc_RNA from 1 species